ensembl:lncRNA
UGGUAGAUAUGAGCACAUUGGGAAAGUUGUUAAAAGUCAGAACAACAAAGUCAGAAUUCAGAUUCCUGCUACAUUACAGAUCAAGAAGUCAAAGAUCUACUAAGUCCAACUUGAGGAGUAAAUAAAAGACUAAUGAUAGCUAUUUUUCUAAAAGAGUGAAAAAGAUGAAAGAAAUAUCGAAGGCUUUCAAAUUAUUUGAUGAUGAUGACACUGGAAGCAUAACACUAAAUAAUAUAAGGAGGGUUUCCAAGGAACUAGGGGAAAAUUUAACAGACAAUGAACUUCAGGAGCAGAAAUCUGAGCACUUCUUGGUUUGAGAGUCAUCAAGGAGAAAAGAAUGCAGUCAGUCCACUGGAUGGGACCAUCCUUCUCUAAAAUGGAGAAAUGCUGGAGCAAGGUCAGCUCUGGUAGGGGUGUCCAUGCCCCACAGCCAGGAGGCUGAGUGAAAGAACCUGACAUGGAGAACCUGCUAAAUCAAGCUCAGAUUCAUGAUUUACAGAAAUACCAAGGUCAUAAAUAUUAUUUUAAGCUACUAAAUUGUAGAAUAAUUCAUUAAACAGAAAUAGAUAACAAACAUAGUCUCCCAUCUUGAAACUUUUGUGUAUUGACUUCUCCCCUACUAGACUGCUAGACAUACAAGUAACCAAGUAACAAUUCCAACUAUCAGAUACUGAAUUAGGAGAUUAAUUGUGGGAGGCCACCUCAUUGAUUAUGCCCAAAGCAGGCUGUAAGUAGUGCAGGUGGUAAAGAGUUAACCCCACAACUGGCUUGUUUACAGAACCAAGUCCUACCAAAGUCUACAUGCUGAGGCCAAAGUGACUCACACCCAAAUUCCAUUUCCAGAGUUAAAACUUGCUUUACUAAAAAGACAAGGUUAAUUAUUAACCACAACCUAUAUUUUGUCUGUUCUGUUCCUAAUUCAAGAAUGCUUUGUUUCUUCCUUUACAAGCCUUGCCUGCAUCACCAACAUGUACAGAGCAACUAUGCAUCCUCUCAUGUAGCCCCUUUACCUCAAUCUAACCAUGAUGUCACCAAUAAAUAUCAACAGCUCAGGGUGUCUAUGCCCUUUACUUGUUCAGCCUUGCUUGUGUGAACAUUGGUCAACCUGGCUCCCCAUUUCUUGUCUUUUUAAUUCUAUCUUUGAGUUUUUCUUCUAACCUUGCAUUGCAGCACUGAGCAGGAGAUCAGUACCUGCCACAGGGGUCUCUGAUAUUAAUUAGACUUCUCACAGCAAUAUCAUCGAUUAGGGUGCUACUCCUUUCUGACAGUUCCUUUUUCCACCUCUUAUCUUAAAUUUGAUGAAUUCUCUGCUUUGUCCUGUAGCUUAGGUUUAUCUGGUGUAUUUGUACAGACAUAUAACAUGCUUUGGCAAUUUCCACCCCUAUCCAAGGUAUUGUUUUUAUGUUUAAAAUCUAUUUUCCUUUUCCUUCCCAUGUAUUGUCUAUCCAUGUCCUUUGCAUAUUUUUCUAGUGGAUUUUUAAAUGUUAUUGAUCUGUAGGAACUCUUUGUACAUAAAAGAAAUCAUUUUUUAUCCUUUUGGGAAAUAGUUUUGGUCAUAAUUGAGGCUUUUGUAUUUUGGCAUUGCCCUUUCUCCUAGGAUAUAAUACUUUUGCCUCUCAGCUAAAAGCUCAAGGUAUUUACUGACAUCUUUACUCUGACUGCUUCAUCUUACUGGGCGUGGCCCCAAACUUCCACCUUUGCAGCAAUGCAGAGCUGUUUAGUUAAACUUUUGUUCAGCUCUUUGUUCUAAUCCUAUUUUUCUGUUGCAAUUUCUGUUGUCUCUCUCUGGGGAUAUGUCCUAAGGAGUUAGCCAGAGACUUGAAAAGGGACAAGGUUGGAUGAUUUGUUCAUUUCAUUUCACCUUGCUCACUCUCUAUACUUUCUCCUCUGAAGUCCUACCCACUUUGGCACCAAUAAAUUAUAACGUUUCUCCUCAGCCCACUAAGUCCUCUGCUUGGGUCUAUUUCCUCUGUUUUGUGAAGUCCAAAACAAGUGACAGUGACAGCACAGCUCCCCUCCUUUGCCACUCUUCUCAAGGAUCUUGGCCUUUCAUUUCCAGUCAUGCUCGCCGUGUGCUUUCCAGGUUCUCUACAGUUAUUUUAUGUUUUAGCUUUCAUAGUUGUUUUCAGCAGGAAGACUAGUUCAUCACAUAUGGAACUAGAAAGAAAUGCAAACAUUAUUUUUCGGAAAAGAAAUAAGUCUGGGGAAGUUCAUUGCAAUUGGCAGAGGGUGCGGGCCAAAGGGUCAGAAGUCUACUGUAACAGUUUAGACAAGAUAUAGUGAUGGCCUGGCUUUUGAAUAGCUGCAUUUGGUCUUGAAUGAGGGGUUCCAAGCAAAUCUUUCAUUCAUGGUGUCUUAUUCUAAUUCACUCUGAUAAAGUAGUAAUAUCAAAAAACAAAUAUUAAGUGCUCACUGUGUGUAUGCACUGUUCUACCUCUUUUACAAGGACUUUUUUAUUUAAGCCCAUGCCUGUUGGACACUGUUAUCAUCAUUCUAUUUCACAGAUGAGCAUAUUGAGAUUAGAGGAUUUAAAUAACUACCUCAUCAUUACAUGGACAGUAAAUGGCUCUUCUGGGCUUUGCAGCCAGGCCUGGAGGUCUACCCUCUCUUAGGGACUACAUUUCAUUGCCUCUCACCAGGCCUCAGAAUAGGGGUUCUAUUUUAAAUAUGAGAAGCUUAGAAUUUAUAUUCUUAGGGGAAGAAAAGCAAUUUUUUUGUUAUUUGGAGAAAUAAAGGAAGUAAUAUUUAAAAGCAAUAAAUUGAACAAAUAAAACUACAGAAAAAUAUAUAUUUAUAAAUGGUGGAAUAGAUUUAAGUCUUUGCAAAUUCAGUAGUAGAGCAUUGUGAUGUGCCCAAGAAUGGGUAGUGAAGGUGAAGAAACACUUGGAAGAUUAGUGACUGAACUUCUGUAGCAACAAAGUUGUUAUCUGAUAUUUUAUAUAUGAACAUUCCCCCUCAAAUAAUUUUUUCCUGCUUUCUGGUGUUGGUUCAUUUUGAUUUUUUUUUUAAAAGAAAGUUUAAUUUUUUUUAAGAAUAGGAAAAAUUUAUUGAGAGAAAGAAAGCUUCUAAGAGAGAUGGAAGGGGGACUGGGAAGGGGGAUGCCCACCCACCCCACUUUUCAAAGAUGUUUUAUACAGCAAAUCCAUGUGGUGAGGUGGGUACAAAGUGGUUCAAAACUAUAAGGCCCAGUGGAAAUUUAUAUACUAUUAAAGUAUAACAAAUAAGUUUUCUAUGUGUCAUUUAAUGUCUUCUAAUCAAAUAGAGGUGUUUGACUAAAAGACUUUCAUAUAGAGAUGGAUAUUUGAAUGUGUUCCAAAGACAAGGUCAUCAUGGUUGUCAUGCUAAAAUACUAUGUGUGGCUUUUGAUCUUAUUUCUCUAUAUAAUGUGUAACUGUUGUCUGUUAACAUUCUGCAGAGAUUCAACUAAAUGAUCAUGGUUGGUAAAAUAACAGCCCUCUAACUGUUCUUUAUAUUUCAAAAGUGCUUAAUGUCCAGACAAAAUUAUAAUAGUUAAGCUCACUGCUCCUACUGAAAUACUUACGUCACUGAUCUUCUCUUCUGGGUGUUCAACAACUAAAAUUUGGAGACCAAAACUAGAAAGGUAACUGGACUAUGAGGACAGCCAAUAUUUUGGCCCUGGCCCCUCAAGGUCAACAAAGAUCCAGGACACAAAGGAACCUUUCCUACAGGAUCCUACAUCUUUGCCUGUCUGUGGCGUUUUCUUUCCACUGUAACAGGAUGCCUCUUUGACCCAGUAGGACCUGGAAUGGUGUGUAGCAACUACAAUGUGCAGCUAGCUUUUCUUUGAAGUCAACGUUUCUUCUAACAAAAUAUGGCCACUAUUCCUCCAUAAAAGAACUAAACAUCCUUCUGAAAAAUGAGUGUUGUAAAAGGGAGAUUUCACCUUCAAGACAUAGAAGAGGUUGCAUGAAAGUCAUGUCCAAUCUUCCUUGGAGACAUUUCCCAAGGGGUGGAUGAACUGAAAUGGUUUUAGGAAUUCUAAAGGCCGUUUACCCUUGGUUCCAAUUUUGCCUCCAAUCAAGGAUCACCAGCCAAAUGAGAGAAAUUAAACAAUGACUUAUUAAUCUGUACAAUCAUUUUGGGGGAUUCUUUGAAUAAAAGUUGCCAAUAUUCUGUGAUGGGGAACUCCUCUUAGGCCUGAGACCACAAUAAGAUUUCCUGCUGCCUUUGCAAAUAUGAAAUGUGGGGGCUGAAGGCUCAGGUAAGUCUGGGAAGGGUGUGAGGGAGAUGGGGGUGGAGAGAGAGAGAGGGCAGAGCAGACUCCAAGAUCAUUAAGCCCAAUUUGUUGUGUGGGAGGACACAGGCCUGAGACAGAUGCAGGUCCGUAUCACCUUUCAAUACAGC